UUUCAACUUUAUAUGAUUACAGAAAACUAGAAAGCGAAAUCCAACUACUUAUAAUUACAACUAGUACUAACUGACAUUUAAAGCCAUUACAACUAGUACUGACUGCCAUUUAAAGCCAUUACAACUAGUACUGACUGCCAUUUAAAGCCGUGACCUGGCGACCUGCAACCCACUAGACCCACACCAAAUCACAAACAAAAAUGAACCAAAUCAGUCCCAGAUUGGACCAAAGCAGCAGCAACUAACUGAACAAAUCAGAACCAAAAUCACGAUAUCAUUGAUAUGAAUUAUAAGGCUGGAAAUCUUCAAAUUGAAAAGCACUGAAAAGAUAUUGACUACAAUAUUUGCUCUGGGCAUGGACUGUUUUUAGCACAUCGCUGAUGACGCCGAAUCCACUAGCCAAUCAAUUUGAUGAUGUACAUAUACACUGAUUUGCUGAUGAACAUAUAAAUACCUUUCAGUAGAUUAAAGUCACUUGGAUAAAAAAAGGAGGAUAUAUAGACAGAGAUAGAUGUAAAGCGGACUUUAUAGGUUCAACUGAAUUUAGGGCUUUAUAGCUGGACAAGAGUCAAGUUAAUUAUGUAUUAAUUUAUAUCACGUUUGGUAGUAAGUAAAGAGACACCUUAUUCA